GUGACCUCAAAUCAGGUAGGACUACCCGCUGAACUUAAGCAUAUCAAUAAGCGGAGGAAAAGAAACUAACAAGGAUUCCCCUAGUAACUGCGAGUGAAGCGGGAAAAGCUCAAAUUUAAAAUCUGGCAGUCCUUUAACUGCCCGAGUUGUAAUCUAGAGAAGUGUUAUCUGUGCUGGACCAUGUACAAGUCUUCUGGAAUGGAGCAUCAUAGAGGGUGAGAAUCCCGUCUUUGACAUGGACUGCCAGGACUUUGUGAUGCACUCUCAAAGAGUCGAGUUGUUUGGGAAUGCAGCUCAAAAUGGGUGGUAAAUUCCAUCUAAAGCUAAAUAUUGGCAAGAGACCGAUAGUGAACAAGUACCGUGAGGGAAAGAUGAAAAGAACUUUGGAAAGAGAGUUAAACAGUAUGUGAAAUUGCUGAAAGGGAAACACUUGAAGUCAGUCACAUUGUCCAGGGAUCAUCCCUUGCUUUUGCUUGGUGUACUUUCUGGUUGAUGGGUCAGCAUCAAUUUUGACUAUUGGAAAAAGGUUGAGGGAAUGUGGCAUCUUAGGAUGUGUUAUAGCCCUUGGUUGCAUAUAAUAGUUGGGAUUGAGGAACUCAGCAUGCCGCAAGGCCGGGUUUUUUUAACAAAAAGCCACGUACAUGCUAGGAUGCU
rnacentral:rRNA from 2 species